UGGGGAAUAUUGGACAAUGGGCGAAAGCCUGAUCCAGCCAUGCCGCGUGUGUGAAGAAGGUCUUCGGAUUGUAAAGCACUUUAAGUUGGGAGGAAGGGCAUUAACCUAAUACGUUAGUGUUUUGACGUUACCGACAGAAUAAGCACCGGCUAACUCUGUGCCAGCAGCCGCGGUAAUACAGAGGGUGCAAGCGUUAAUCGGAAUUACUGGGCGUAAAGCGCGCGUAGGUGGUUUGUUAAGUUGGAUGUGAAAUCCCCGGGCUCAACCUGGGAACUGCAUUCAAAACUGACUGACUAGAGUAUGGUAGAGGGUAGUGGAAUUUCCUGUGUAGCGGUGAAAUGCGUAGAUAUAGGAAGGAACGCCAGUGGCGAAUGCGACCACCUGGACGAAUACUGACACUGAGGUGCGAAAGCGUGGGGAGCAAACA
rnacentral:rRNA from 1 species